rnacentral:rRNA from 1 species
CCUACGGGAGGCAGCAGUGGGGAAUAUUGCGCAAUGGGCGAAAGCCUGACGCAGCGACGCCGCGUGAGGGAUGAAGGUCUUCGGAUCGUAAACCUCUGUCAGCAGGGAAGAACGGUCACUGUGCUAAUCAGCAGUGAAUUGACGGUACCUGCAAAGGAAGCACCGGCUAACUCCGUGCCAGCAGCCGCGGUAAUACGGAGGGUGCGAGCGUUAAUAGGAAUUACGGGGCGUAAAGCGCUCGUAGGCGGUAUGUCAAGUCAAGGGUGAAAUCCCCGGGCUCAACGUGGGAACUGCCUUUGAAACUGGCAAACUGGAGUGCUGGAGAGGAUAGUGGAAUUCCAGGUGGAGGAGUGAAAUCCGUAGAUAUCUGGAGGAACAUCAGUGGCGAAGGCGACUAUCUGGCACAUAACUGACGCUGAGGAGCGAAAGCGUGGGUAGCAAACAGGAUUAGAUACCCGUGUAGUC